CUACGGGGCGCUCCAGUAAGGAAUAUUGCACAAUGGGGGGAACCCUGAUGCAGCAACGCCGCGUGGAGGAUGACGCAUUUCGGUGUGUAAACUCCUUUUAUAUGUCAAGAAAAUGACGGUAGCAUAUGAAUAAGCACCGGCUAACUCCGUGCCAGCAGCCGCGGUAAUACGGAGGGUGCAAGCGUUACUCGGAAUCACUGGGCGUAAAGGACGCGUAGGCGGGUUGGAAAGUCAGGUGUGAAAUCCUACGGCUUAACUGUAGAACUGCACUUGAAACUUCUAAUCUAGAGUAUGGGAGGGGGAGAUGGAAUUAGUGGUGUAGGGGUAAAAUCCGUAGAUAUCACUAGGAAUACCUAAAGCGAAGGCGAUCUCCUGGAACAUUACUGACGCUAAGGCGUGAAAGCGUGGGGAGCAAACAGGAUUAGAUACCCUUGUAGUC
rnacentral:rRNA from 1 species